GACGUAGGGCGCGAGCGUUGUCCGGAUUUAUUGGGCGUAAAGAGCUCGUAGGCGGUUCGGCAAGUCGGGUGUGAAACCCCCAGGCUCAACCUGGGGACGCCACCCGAUACUGCUGUGACUUGAGUCCGGUAGGGGAGCGUGGAAUUCCUGGUGUAGCGGUGAAAUGCGCAGAUAUCAGGAAGAACACCCGUGGCUAAGGCGGCUCUCUAGUACGGUACUGACGCUGAGACGCGAAAGCGUGGGGAGCGAACAGG
rnacentral:rRNA from 1 species